UAGGGAAUCUUCGGCAAUGGACGAAAGUCUGACCGAGCAACGCCGCGUGAGUGAAGAAGGUUUUCGGAUCGUAAAACUCUGUUGUUAGAGAAGAACAAGGACGUUAGUAACUGAACGUCCCCUGACGGUAUCUAACCAGAAAGCCACGGCUAACUACGUGCCAGCAGCCGCGGUAAUACGUAGGUGGCAAGCGUUGUCCGGAUUUAUUGGGCGUAAAGCGAGCGCAGGCGGUUUCUUAAGUCUGAUGUGAAAGCCCCCGGCUCAACCGGGGAGGGUCAUUGGAAACUGGGAGACUUGAGUGCAGAAGAGGAGAGUGGAAUUCCAUGUGUAGCGGGGAAAUGCGUAGAUAUAUGGAGGAACACCAGUGGCGAAGGCGGCUCUAUGGUCUGUAACUGACGCUGAGGCUCGAAAGCGUGGGGAGCAAACAGG
rnacentral:rRNA from 1 species